rnacentral:rRNA from 1 species
AUUGAACGCUGGCGGCAGGCCUAACACAUGCAAGUCGAGCGGAUGAAGGGAGCUUGCUCCUGGAUUCAGCGGCGGACGGGUGAGUAAUGCCUAUGAAUCUGCCUGGUAGUGGGGGAUAACGUCCGGAAACGGGCGCUAAUACCGCAUACGUCCUGAGGGAGAAAGUGGGGGAUCUUCGGACCUCACGCUCUCAGAUGAGCCUAGGUCGGGUUAGCUAGUUGGUGGGGUAAAGGCCUACCAAGGGGACGAUCCGUAACUGGUCUGAGAGGAUGAUCAGUCACACUGGAACUGGAACACGGUCCAGACUCCUACGGGAGGCAGCAGUGGGGAAUAUUGGACAAUGGGCGAAAGCCUGAUCCAGCCAUGCCGCGUGUGUGAAGAAGGUCUUCGGAUUGUAAAGCACUUUAAGUUGGGAGGAAGGGCAGUAAGUUAAUACCUUGCUGUUUUGACGUUACCAACAGAAUAAGCACCGGCUAACUUCGUG